rnacentral:lncRNA from 1 species
UCCAGCACAACUUUAUCGAGCAAUUUCCCGCGAAAGCAUCAGUCAAAGACAUUGAAAAGUUCAAGAUUCGGCAAGCAACAGCACACCACCUAUUGGCCUUCGAAUCCCAUUCUCCUUCACCGAUUAGGGUAGUGCUAGGAUCGAAAUUAUAGUAGCCAUAAUAAACAUUGGUGACAUUUUGAAACUUCAAUAACAAUUGCGUCUUACCCUCCUCCAAACAUCGAAUCGUAGUGAAGCUCAUGGCCUUGGGUAAAAACCCGACAUCUGUGCCAAGAGGAUUGCACUUACCACCGUGACAAACACUCCUGUAUUCCAAGUCAAAGGCCGAAUUCCACUUCAAGGCUGAGCACAAACCUUGCCCUAGUUUCUCACUAGACAAAUUAUCUCCUCCACUAUCAUCAAAUUUAUCAAAAGACCCACUCCCUCCCUUCUUCUCUAUCAAACUAUACUCAUAAUUGACACUUCCACUACUCAAAG